UGCUCCAACAGGGCAGCGCAGGAGUACCCAUGACCAUGAGGGGACAGUAGUGAGUGCACCUGGCCCAAUCCUCCUGGGAAGGAAUGCUUACAUUGCCAAGAAACAACUUGGAGCAAAUGAUGUUUCUGGGAGACCUUGGGUUCUGCAUGGAGUAGCCAUUGUCCUCGUGGUGGUGUCUGUCUCUCUGCUGGUAGUGAUGGUUGCAGUGUACGUGAAGAGACCAAGAGCUGCUGCUGUGUCUCCCUGUCAUGAUGAAUUGUAAACCCUGAACAGAAAUAAACCAGAUGGACAAA